rnacentral:rRNA from 1 species
GACGAACCGAGCGAACGUUGUUCGGAAUCACUGGGCUUAAAGGGCGCGUAGGCGGGUGCUCAAGUCCGGGGUGAAAUCCUCCAGCUCAACUGGAGAACUGCCUCGGAUACUGGGUGCCUCGAGGGUGGUAGGGGUAUGCGGAACUAUCGGUGGAGCGGUGAAAUGCGUUGAUAUCGAUAGGAACUCCGGUGGCGAAGGCGGCGAUACUGGACCACAUCUGACGCUGAGGCGCGAAAGCCAGGGGAGCAAACGGG